AAACAUGAGGUGGCCCUUACAAUGAACCAUUACGUGUCGGGCAACACGUAUGGCUUUCAUGCAAAUAAAAUCAAAACAGAAAUCAUUACUCUUCCGAAUGAGUAACAGUGAUGAUCUUUUUUAGGCCUUCCAGUUCUGGAUUCCCAUCCCUGGUGCGCACGGCUUUAUCCAACCAUCAAACUUGCAGUUACCAUCAGUCUCUUC
rnacentral:lncRNA from 1 species